rnacentral:rRNA from 1 species
AUUGAACGCUGGCGGCAUGCCUUACACAUGCAAGUCGAACGGUAACGCGGGGCAGCCUGGCGACGAGUGGCGAACGGGUGAGUAAAGCAUCGGAACGUGCCCAGUAGUGGGGGAUAGCCCGGCGAAAGCCGGAUUAAUACCGCAUACGACCUAUGGGCGAAAGAGGGGGAUCGCAAGGCCUCUCGCUAUUGGACGGGCCGGGGUCUGAGUAGGUAGUUGGUGGGGGAAAGGCCAACAACGCGGACUCUCUGUAGCUUGGCUGAGAGGUCAACCAGCCACGGUGAGACGGAGACACGGCCCGGACUCCAAGGGGAGGCAGAAGUGGGGAAUUUUGGACAUUGGGGGGAAGCCUGAUCCGGCCAUGCCGCGUGCGGGAAAAAGGCCUUCGGGUUGUAAACCGCUUUUGUCAGGGGAGAAAUCCUUUUGGUUAAUACCUCGGGGGGAUGACGGUACCUGAAGAAUAAGCACCGGCUAACUACGUGCCAGCCGCCGCCGUAAUAC